rnacentral:rRNA from 1 species
UACGAAGGGGGCUAGCGUUGUUCGGAAUCACUGGGCGUAAAGCGCACGCAGGCGGAUUGAUAAGUCAGGGGUGAAAUCCCGGGGCUCAACCUCGGAACUGCCCUUGAAACUGCAGUGCUAGAAUCUUGGAGAGGCGAGUGGAAUUCCGAGUGUAGAGGUGAAAUUCGUAGAUAUUCGGAAGAACACCAGUGGCGAAGGCGACCCGCUGGACAAGUAUUGACGCUGAGGUGCGAAAGCGUGGGGAGCAAACAGG